rnacentral:rRNA from 1 species
AGUUUGAUCAUGGCUCAGAUUGAACGCUGGCGGCAGGCCUAACACAUGCAAGUCGAGCGGUAGAGAGAAGCUUGCUUCUCUUGAGAGCGGCGGACGGGUGAGUAAUGCCUAGGAAUCUGCCUGGUAGUGGGGGAUAACGUUCGGAAACGGACGCUAAUACCGCAUACGUCCUACGGGAGAAAGCAGGGGACCUUCGGGCCUUGCGCUAUCAGAUGAGCCUAGGUCGGAUUAGCUAGUUGGUGGGGUAAUGGCUCACCAAGGCGACGAUCCGUAACUGGUCUGAGAGGAUGAUCAGUCACACUGGAACUGAGACACGGUCCAGACUCCUACGGGAGGCAGCAGUGGGGAAUAUUGGACAAUGGGCGAAAGCCUGAUCCAGCCAUGCCGCGUGUGUGAAGAAGGUCUUCGGAUUGUAAAGCACUUUAAGUUGGGAGGAAGGGCAUUAACCUAAUACGUUAGUGUUUUGACGUUACCGACAGAAUAAGCACCGGCUAACUCUGUGCCAGCAGCCGCGGUAAUACAGAGGGUGCAAGCGUUAAUCGGAAUUACUGGGCGUAAAGCGCGCGUAGGUGGUUUGUUAAGUUGGAUGUGAAAUCCCCGGGCUCAACCUGGGAACUGCAUUCAAAACUGACUGACUAGAGUAUGGUAGAGGGUGGUGGAAUUUCCUGUGUAGCGGUGAAAUGCGUAGAUAUAGGAAGGAACACCAGUGGCGAAGGCGACCACCUGGAC